GAUGAACGCUGACAGAAUGCUUAACACAUGCAAGUCUACUUGAACUUCGGUUUGGGUGGCGGACGGGUGAGUAACGCGUAAAGAACUUGCCUCACAGUUAGGGACAACAUUUGGAAACGAAUGCUAAUACCUGAUAUUAUGAUUUUAGGGCAUCCUAGGAUUAUGAAAGCUAUAUGUGCUGUGAGAGAGCUUUGCGUCCCAUUAGCUAGUUGGAGAGGUAACGGCUCACCAAGGCGAUGAUGGGUAGCCGGCCUGAGAGGGUGAACGGCCACAAGGGGACUGAGACACGGCCCUUACUCCUGCGGGAGGCAGCAGUGGGGAAUAUUGGACAAUGGACCAAAAGUCUGAUCCAGCAAUUCUGUGUGCACGAUGACGUUUUUCGGAAUGUAAAGUGCUUUCAGUUGGGAAGAAAAAAAUGACGGUACCAACAGAAGAAGUGACGGCUAAAUACGUG
rnacentral:rRNA from 1 species